UGACCUCAUGAUCUGCCCGCCUUGGCCUCCCAAAGUGCUGGGAUUACACGUGUGAGCCACUGUGCCUGGCCUGAUUGUGCUUCUUAUCUCUCUACAUGAAAAGCAACAGAGUAGGGCUGCUCUUUAUCUCUCUACGAGAUAUUAACAAGUGAAUCAGGAUUUUUGUGAGCCUGGCUGUUUCCAUUUGAUGGGAAGGAAACCUAAGUUCAGUCUCAAGCCUAAGCCAGCUUCUAGGACAAAAUUUACUGGAAUUUUCAGUGACACAGAUCUGCACAGUUCUACAUUUUAUUCCCACCUCUUCCAUUUUAGGUGGUAGUGAUUGCGGUAUUGGCCAGAUUGAGAUUAUGGUAGGCAGAUGCAGCAGGAGGAGAGGCAUACAAAUUGAGGAAUAGUCAAACGGACGAUUCAAUGCUGGAUUAUUGUCCACAUAAGAAAUGAGAACAAGAAGAAACUGAUGAAUGGGUAAGAAUAGAAAGGCGAGUAAAUUUCUAAGUCUCACUGAAGCAGGAUGUUAACAGUAGUGAUGAGAUAACUAGAAGUACAGGAAUCUGUAUUCAAACAGUGGAUAAGACUUUUUUAAGAUUUCAAAGUUUUGUUAGCUCUGGAUGUGAUCUCUAUCAGCAAACCCAUUUAUCUUACCUCCAUCUGAUAUUUUAUUCUUUCCAUGGGCUUGCUGUGGGAUCCUGUGUCUUAGUCUCCUCUUGGCUUUCUUGACUAUAUGGUUUGACUCUAAGUUAUUCUCUAUUAGCCCUGGAAACAUCUUUGUUGGGGACAAGUAGCUCACUUCUCCAAGACUCGCUCUAAUACCUUUAGAAUGUGCAUGACUCAUGGGGAAGUCAGGAAAAUCACUUCCAAACCUUUUACCACGAAUUCUCUCCCAGCCUGCAAUUUCCUCCUGCUGCGAUUUUUUUGCUUUCUCACUUAAAAAAUCCAGACUACCAAACAGCUCUUGCCCACCUAAAUAACUUUCCAUGCAAAUCAUCAAAAUCCACUUCGAUUUUGCCAAAUGGAGCAAGAAACUUGGAUCCUUUCACUGUGGGAAAUUGCCUUGAUGCCACUAGUUCUCUCAUUUUUCCUCCCAUCCAUCAGUGAACUUUUUAGCUUACUCAAAGCAUUGCUCCAAUGCAUAGGAUUUAUGGUUGUGAGGAUUUCCAAAUAAUAUAAAUAUUCCACAUUAAUAUUUUAAAUUAAGACAUGAGACAUUUUUCCUAACUGAACAUAGUCAUGAACCUCUCACGUCUAUUCAUCUGCAUCAGUUUGUAGCACUGAAUACAGUAGCUCUCCUAAAAGCCCAGGCAGUGCACAGGUCUUGACAUGAUGAGGUGACAAUGUUGCUAUGGUGAUUUUGCAGCUGUCCAAAUAGUCACUGGUUGAUUUUACCUAGCAAGAGUUUUUGCAAAAAUUGCUUUGAUUAGAGUGAAAUCAAACUCCUAUUUUUUUCUCCCCUGAAAGCUGCAGUUAAGAUGGAUUAGUAAGUACUUUUAGAUUAAUUAACCCUGAAGGGAUAAUGGGAGAAAAGUGAGGAAGAUUGUUGGCAGAAGUCAUUGCUGGAAUCCUUCUGAACGGAGUAUUGACAUUACUUGCAAAGUCAAAAGACUAGAAGACAAUGAAGUUAAACUUGGCUUGUCUCUCACAUGAUAGAUGCUGAUAGUACAAGUUCAGGGAAAUUUAAUCCUGUCAUACGUAUAUUGAAUUAUGUGGUCAUGGCUUUGUUUGGUUCUAGUCAGCUUUAAUCAAAUAAGGAAGAGCUUGGUAAAGUAAGCGUAUAAUGCCCAGAACAACCUGAAAACUUGAAAAAGUGUUGGUGCUGUGUUGUUGUUCUAAAGACCACUGUGAUAUUAAGCAAAACGAGAGGGAAAAUUUUACCUAUUUUCUUUCUGCCACUUGGAGUGUUUAUUCAGGGUCCUCAUAGUCAUAAAUAUUAAAUAAUCUGUGAAAAAAAAUAGAAUCCAAGCCAAGCCUGUGUGAUCAUACCUGCAACUGCUACACUUAUUUAGACAUAAAUGCAGUCUAGCAUUACACGUCCUUUAAAAAAAUGUUUUCCCAAUGAUUAGAAGAUAAGCUCAAAUAAAUGAACACACAUACAUAUGUCUAAAUUGAUGAGUAGAUAAAUAUUUCAGUAUGUAGUUACUAGAUUUCUAUGUAUGAGUAAACAUAUGGGAGAAAUUUAAAAUACGAAAUUAGUCUCAAUGAAAGCAUAAUAUCCCUAGGUAUUAUUUUAGUUUUUAAAAAUGGCUAAUGAAGGAAGGAAAAGAUGAAUGAAUGCACUUAUUCCUCUUAGAGUACUGGGACAUGGUUUUGCUUGAAAACCGUACACCUCUAGCUAUCUCAUUUCUACUUUUAAUAUCCUUCUUUCCUAACCUCAGUGAGACUUGGAAUUUACUCACCUUUUUAUUCUUACCUAUUCAUCAUUUCUUCUUAUUCCCAUUUCUCAUCUUUUACUGUGUGUAUAUUUUACAUCUAUCUUAAACUUAUAUGUAUAAGACAUAAGGUAUAUUUUAUGUCUUACAUGUAUAAUAAUCUAAGUGAAACAAAAAGUAACAAAACAUUUUCUUCUCCAAAAAUUUUUGAGAAAGAUGGAUUUUCCAGAAAGAUGUGUUUAGUUUUUAUCCGGUCGUUUUGUGUACCACCUGGCACACUGGAGUGUUACCCCAAUUAAAAGACUUGUAACUCUGGGUGAACAGUGGAAAUAUUAGGGUACCUUUUAAAAAUGCUAAUGCCUAGUCCUCACUGAAGACAAGUUAAUCUCAAUCUCUGUGGGUAGCAUUAAUACUUUUAUAAUCUUCCCAGAUGAUUCUAAUGUGCAUCCAAGAAUGAAAACCACUUCUGUAGCUGGAUACUUACUUCAGUUUGAGAAAUAUUGAUGAGGUUAAAUUAGACAGAAGUUAUUAUUGUACUUGUCUUCACAUCUUAUCUCUUUUUGAAAUGUCCAGUAUAUAUAGUUUACAAAUUACAUAAAAUAUAUAAAAUUAUAUAAAAUAAUUUCAAUAAUUUGAAAUUAUUUCACUGGGACCUUAGAAUAGUUGUUGGCACAAUGGUAAUCUGACUGCAGAGAAAUGUAAACUUGGUCCACCCUGAAACACAAGCAUGGUGUGUAGCCACAUAAGAUCCUGAAUCAGUAGCUUACAAGCUAUUGAUUCUAAAUUUGAGAAACAAAACUCCUAUUUCUUAAUAUCUUGGACAUUAUUUUUUCCCCAUGGUAACUUCUAACAAAUAAAGUUUUCAUUUUAAUAUAGAAAUUGUUGAUUUAAGGAAGUAUUUAGUAAUUAUAAUUUUAUCAGUUUGAAUUCUAAAACCCUACCAAAUUCUUCUACAAUAUUUUCAGUAUUUGCUGAAAGAUGACAUCCCUCUUGCCUUAAUCAUGUGCCAGAUUACUCGUAAACCUGUACCAUAUGCCACUGCAAUUUGCUGAUGGGCCCAAGCUGUUUUGGUAGAUAAAAAAUCCAAAGGGAUUAGAAUGGCUCAAUCCUCACUGUGAACAGAGCAACUGCAUAGGACAGCUGUAUGCUCUCUUUUCUCUCCUUGUCCAUACAGCACCUCUAUUCUCUCAAUUUAGGUCAUUGAUAACCCAGACCUGAAGUUCACAUCAAUGCCCACAAAAAAUAUAUUUUGCUCCAAAUAAGGCCUUUCUUUAGAAACUUAGACAGAAACCAAAUGUCAGAGACACACACAGCAUGCAAGAAAUGGAAUAGAUAUUUUUGUUUGUGAGAGUAGUAAAUGUUUUCCCCAGUUUCGGCUUCAGGAUGGUCCUAGGGGUGAAAAACACUUUUAAAUUGAUGAGUGACAUAAAGAGUCUUUCUCCCUUACUUGGCUCCUGUUUUCUACUCAGUGUAAUUAGUGGUGUUAUUCUCUGUCACCAGUGUUUACAUGACUACAAAGUUUUGUUGUUGUUUAUAAUAAAAUGAAUCUCGGAGACAUUUGACUUGAAAUCAGAGUCAGAUGGUUGAUUAAAUUAUUAAAAUUUAAAAUAACCUUUGGGAAAAUGUAAUUUUCUGGAAAACAUUUUCCUAUACUCUUACUUUUUCUUUUUAGUACAAGGAGACUUACCCCAAAUAAGGAAGUCAUUGUGUUUUAUUUCUUGUGUCUUGAGAUCCAUUUUCCUGAUAGCAACCAUUCAUUUUAAAUGUCUGACACAGUUUCUUUAAAGAUAAAGCAAUAAAACAUAUUGCUUUGAAGCAUUCUAGUUAUUCAUACUGCUAAGAGUGCUUUAUACAAAUAUCAAACAGUGGGGAAAUGCUAACUAUUCAGAAUUCUAGAUUACUAUUGAAUAAUUUGCACUUUGCGCAGUUAUGUGUAGGUCUUGGAGGCUAGAAUAAUUGAAGUUUAGAGUUGGAACCAUUGUAGAAGUUCAUCAUACCACAUUUGAAUCAUCUCUGUGUUAUCCGCUUGCUCAAUUCAAGAAUACUCUCUAAAUUUUCCUGAGAAUCUUAUUGGAAACUUCUAGUGAUGAAGAAUGCAAGAGAGGCAUUCUUAUUGCUGAGUUUAAGCCUCCCUUUCUAUAACUUUAAUUCAAUAGGUCUGCCUUUGAGAGCUCAGAAGAAUAAUAUUAAUUUUGUUUUAUUUCAUAAUAACCCCUCAAAGACUUCUUUGAGAGGCACACAUCUAGACUCAGAAAUUUAGCAGCCAUGAUGGCAAGUUUUAUAAAUGCACUUGCCACUCGCUGUAUACAGGGAACAAUGUUAUCACCUCAAACUGGCCAGUAACCAUGUCUGUGUCCCCAAUUGUUGUUCAGUCAGUCAUUAAUGACUAAAAGUAUCUUCUCAGCAAUCAAAAAUGGAGUGUGUUCUCUUGUGAAUCCUCCUUAUUCUCUUUUUGUUGAACAUAAAGUGUGGCUUAUUUAAAAGACAUGGCAUCGCAUCAUAAAAAGGGACUCAUAUCCUUUCCACUUUCCCCGUGGUGGAGAGUUCUUUCUUAAUCACACAUUAAUUAUUAUAUUGUCUCUUAGACAAGUUUCUUUUUGUUGAAGUUGACACAAACAUAAUAAAUAAAGGGAUUAUUAUUAUUAUUAUUUUGUAUUAACAGGACUCUAGCACAAGACCGACAGGAUUUAAGCAAUGUAAGCAAGAUUUCUCUGGGUCUCUUAUCUCUAUUGGUUUCAUUACUCCCACUCCAGAAUUACCUCAGUAAUUCUACAUAGAAUUUCCCCUCAUCAGCUAUGAAAUAGUCAUAUCUUAUCACAAAAUGAUCACCAUCUGAAAUGAAAAGGAGAAAAGAGAGUCAUUUAAAUUUUUCCUUCAAAAAUUCAAUUUUGUAUUAAUUCAACAACUAAUCUAUUAAGUAAUCCUUAUUACUAGACAUUCCCUCAAUACUAAGAAUAUAAAACAAAACAGAAUAUCUGCUCUCUAGGAUACGUGUUAUAAUAGUCCUCUGCACCUCAAAAUCUUGAGUAAAUUAUCUCAAUGUUUUUCUGAAGUAAUCAGUUUCCUCCUGUAUCUAUUUUUUGCUAUUAAAUGAAUUAGUAGAAUACAUUAAGAGAAGGGGCUUUUAAGUCUGCAUUUUUAAGAACUCUACUCAAAUCAUCUCCCAGCAAUGACUUGUACUGUAGAAUAAUAACUUUCUCACCUAUAAAAUAACUCUCUCAUCUAUAAAAUA